GCUGGGCGUGGUGGCGCAUGCCUGUAGUCCCAGCUACUCAGGAGGCUGAGGCAGGAGAAUCGCUUGAACACGGGAGGCAGAGGUUGCAGUGAGCUGAGAUCACGUCACUGCAGUCCAUCUUGUGUGACCGAGUGAGAUUCUGUCUCAA
ensembl:misc_RNA Metazoa_SRP Metazoan signal recognition particle RNA